CCAAUAGCGUAUAUUAAAGUUGUUGCAGUUAAAAAGCUCGUAGUUGAAUUUCGGGGUCUGUCCAUUGGUCGGGCUUCAUGGUCCGUACUGGUGUGAUGGGUUCCUACCUUCUGAAUAACCAGCAUGCCAUUCAGUUGGUGCGCCGGGGAAGCAGAGCUAUUACCUUGAAAAAAUUAGAGUGCUUAAAGCAGGCUAGUGCUUGAAUAGAUUAGCAUGGAAUAAUAACAUAGGACGGCAUGGUUCUAUUUUGUUGGUUUCUAGGAUCACCGUAAUGAUUAAUAGGGAUAGUUGGGGGCAUUAGUAUUCAAUUGUCAGAGGUGAAAUUCUUGGAUUUAUCGAAGACUAACUUCUGCGAAAGCAUUUGCCAAGGAUGUUUUCAUUAAUCAAGAACGAAAGUUAGGGGAUCGAAGACGAUCAGAUACCGUCGUAGUCUUAACCAUAAACUAUGCCGACUAGGGAUCGGACGAUGUUAAUUUUUUAAUGACUCGUUCGGCGCCUUACG
rnacentral:rRNA from 1 species